rnacentral:rRNA from 1 species
UACGGAGGGUGCGAGCGUUGUUCGGAAUUACUGGGCGUAAAGCGUGCGCAGGCGGCUCUAUAAGACAGAUGUGAAAUCCCCGGGCUUAACCUGGGAACUGCGUUUGUGACUGUAGAGCUGGAGUGUGGCAGAGGGGGGUGGAAUUCCACGUGUAGCAGUGAAAUGCGUAGAGAUGUGGAGGAACACCGAUGGCGAAGGCAGCCCCCUGGGUUAACACUGACGCUCAUGCACGAAAGCGUGGGGAGCAAAC